CCCACUCGCCUCGCCUCGCCUCGCAUCGCCACCGUAAGCCCGUAACAAACAAAUCUUUCCUCUUUUCUUCUUCCUCCUGCUCCCGGUCUGCCCGCCGCUAACCCCUACGAGCAAGCAAUCCUGCCUGCCCCACAGGCACACCACCCCCCCACGGCCUCCAGAUCGGAGCUGGCGAGUCCCGGACCCUACUACACCUGCUGCUCUGAGUGAGGCGGCCGGGCUGGGGGUUGGUCGCUUCCUGGUUGGCCGCCCACGACCAGUUCUUGAUCCCGGACUGCUUCAAGCGGGCCGGGUCUGGUCGUUUCUUGGUUGAACUGAUUGGUUGCUGCUGACUUGGUCGAUCUCCUCUUCUUCCAUUGCUGCUUCGUCGUGUCGGCUGGCCAUUGCAGUUGCACACAAGGUGUUUGUUUGGCGGCAGCGGGCGCUGCUGAGCUAGGUUGCUCGCUGGCUUCUUCGUUGGUGUUAAGCGGUAUGCCAGGUAGGUAGAUCUGCUCGGAGGGACGGCCAUUCGACAGUUGCUGUAUCAAAGCUGGAUAGACAGGCAGAUCUUGAGAGACGCCGAUCACUGUUCUGCCGCUCGGACGGACCCUGUUGAUUCGUAGCUCUCAAGCUUUACCAUGCUGAGAAAUCCUUGCUGAGUGUGGAUAAACUUCACAUAGGAGGUUUCUGAGGCUGAACCAGGCGCUUUUGACUUGUGAGGGCUGAGGAUUAGUAAUUAAUCAAAUCAUGUGGAGACCGUUCAGGCAGCUCAUGCCCAAAGAGCAUUCCGGGCCUUCUGGCGGCCUCGAGGGCCGAACCAUCGAUGUCGGCAAUGUGAAGGUGCACGUCCGGGAAGCCAUUGCCGAGGGUGGGUUCUCGUGCGUGUACCUCGCCCGGGACCUGACCAACCCAGCAAAGAAGUACGCGCUCAAGCACGUCAUUGCCCAGGACAAGGAGUCGCUGGACCUGGUGCAGAAGGAGAUCACGGUGAUGAGGGCGCUCAAGGGGCACCCGAACGUGGUCACGCUCGUUGCGCACGCCAUAAUGGAUAUGGGCCGUGGGAGGGAGGCGCUUCUGCUGAUGGAGUUCUGCGAGAGAUCGCUGGUUUCUGCCUUGGACACUAGAGGUACUGCAGGGUUCUAUGAUGAGGAGCAGGUUGCUCUCAUCUUCCGGGAUGUUUGCAAUGCGGUGUUCGCGAUGCACUGCCAGACACCACCUGUUGCUCACAGGGACCUAAAGGCCGAAAAUGUGCUUCUUGGUGCUGACGGGGCUUGGAAAUUAUGUGAUUUUGGUAGUGUAUCAACAAACCAUAAGUGCUUUGAUAAACCAGAGGAGAGGGGCAUUGAAGAAGAUGUCAUCAGAAAGCAUACAACUCCUGCUUAUAGGGCUCCUGAGAUGUGGGACUUGUACAGGAGGGAAGUUAUUAGUGAGAAAGUAGAUAUAUGGGCUCUUGGAUGUCUCAUGUAUAGAAUCUGCUACUUAAAAUCAGCUUUUGGUUUAGAAUCAAAGCUUCAGAUCCUCAAUGGGAACUAUCGUAUCCCUGAAUUACCGAAGUACUGUUCUUCCAUUACAAGUCUGAUCGAAGAGAUGCUUCAGUCCUCUCCAGAUGCCAGACCAGACAUUACACAGGUAUGGUUUCGUGUUAAUGAAUUACUUCCUUUGGAGCUGCAAAAGGAUUUACCUGAUGGAUCCCCAUCUGGAUCAGCAUUUGAAUUGCAAACUACUGAGGAUGAAGGACCUUCUUCAUCACGGUCAAGAGACAAUGUGAGAAAUACACCUCCGAAAGGUCCUUCCAUUUUGAGGUCACAAGUUCCUGCUGAGAGUAAGGGUUCUGCAGGUGCAUUUUGGUCAACUCAACAUGCACAAGAACUAGCUUUUGCGGAUGACAAGGGGUCAGUUCUAGAUCAAGAGCCCAUACAUGAUGGCAUAGCAAAGCAACCUCAGGCAAAGAACCAGAACACAACACGGAAUGCAUACAGACAGUCUCUUUCUGCUUCUGUUGAUAGUUCUCCUGGGGAUUUUGAAAUAAGGUUUUCUCCAAAUGGUUCAGAAUAUGGCCUAGAGAAAACCCAAAACACUAAACCAGAUAACAAAACCAGUGCACAGACUGCCACUUUUAGCUCCUUUGUGGCAGACUUUGAUAAUGUUAAGGUGAGCUCAGAGGACAAUGCCGGUAGUUUAAACGCGGCAAGUAAAUUGAAAGGACAACAGCUGGAGGCCGAAGUAACUUUACUCAAGGAGCAAUUGAAGAUAGCAAACUUAGAGAAGGAAGAAAUCUCACUGAAGUUUGAUAGAUUGUCAGCCAUUUGCUCCUCUCAGAGGCGGGAGAUACAGGAACUUAAACAAGCUCUAGCCACAACUUCUGCACCAGUGCCAGUUAAGGAGUUGAAAGAAAAUUUGAAGGCUGAAUUCUCCCCACCCAGCACAAGCCUUGACACUCCGCCAAGGGAGAAGAUUGCAGGAACCCCACCAGAGCUCCGGCAAGGUCUAUUUACAUCAAGUCCAGGGACACCAAGCCCAGAUCCCAAGCCAUGGUCCGCUUUCCCUGAAGAGCCGAAAGCUCAAGCAGCUGUAAAAAGUGCCCACCCGAGGUCGGUCCGAACUUUAAGGGCAUCACAAAGCAACAAAGCCGGCUUGCUUAAUCAGUCAAAAACAAACUCUGGUGCCGACCCCUUUGCCUUCGGUCAAGAUAGCUUUAAGGCUGUACCUUCUGGCACCGUGCCUUCUGAGAUGUCAAAUUUGGGGAAUGCUUCUCAGUCCCUCAACACUCUUAAGGCUGAAGUGGAGAAAGAUGCACCCUACCAACCAGCUGGAUGGACUGGGUUUUAAUGUGCUAUCGCCAAUAAGGAUAUUUGGUAUCUGAUGAGACUAUACUCCUAUAGAAUUACAGAAAUAUGGUCCAUCCAUUGUAUCAUAAUCAUAUAAAUUGAGUGGUGUUGAGAGGGAGCAAAAUGAGCCCAACCCAGGAGUGCCAGAAUUGACGUAGGGAUGUAGCACUAUCAAUGUUUGGACACAGCAUGUACACAUACCAAGGCCUCAUUUCUAAACAUGAAGAGUUGAAAAGGGCGAAAACCAAAGAGAGCGAGAAAUGCGAAGCGAUUACCUAAGUUGACAUACUCAUACCCCAGUUUCGCAAGACCAGUAUCCACCAUGGCAUCAGCUACACAAACACAAUGUGAUUUAUUUAUAUAUUGCAGCAAUGCAAGGUUUGAUUUUCCUGGCUAAGAGAGAACAAGGGAGCACCAUGCUUACCUAUUUUUCGGAUUAUCACCUCGUCUAUCUUGCAGCCGAAGUGGUUCCAGCUAUUCCACCUGAAUACACCGUGCUGUCAGUUCAGCAAGACUUGAUUGUUGGAAAUAUUUCAUGGAGAAGCAGAUAGAAACCAGUUCUCCCUGUUCGGUUUAGAGGGGCUUGAAGAGGACUCGGGUCUUCUUUGGUUCAUAGGAUAGAAAUAUCAUAGGAAUAUGAAACUUGUAGGAAUUGAGAUGUUAUGUAUUCUAAAUCCUAUGAAUAGGAAUAGAAAAAUAGAUGUCCGUUUGUUCACAUCAUAGGAUUUUUUUUAUUAAGUCUAGGCUAAUGUUAUU